AUUGAACGCUGGCGGCAGGCCUAACACAUGCAAGUCGAGCGGAUGAAGGGAGCUUGCUCCUGGAUUCAGCGGCGGACGGGUGAGUAAUGCCUAUGAAUCUGCCUGGUAGUGGGGGAUAACGUCCGGAAACGGGCGCUAAUACCGCAUACGUCCUGAGGGAGAAAGUGGGGGAUCUUCGGACCUCACGCUAUCAGAUGAGCUUAGGUCGGAUUAGCUAGUUGGUGGGGUAAAGGCCUACCAAGGCGACGAUCCGUAACUGGGCUGAGAGGAUGAUCAGGCACACUGGAGCUGAGACACGGUCCAGAAUCCUACGGGAGGCCGCAGUGGGGAAGAUUGGACAAUGGGCGAAAGCUUGAUCCAGCACUGCCGCGUGUGUGAAGAAGGUCUUCGGAUUGUAAAGCGCUUUAAGUUGGGAGGAAGGGCAGUAAGUUAAUACCUUGCUGUUUUGACGUUACCAACAGAAUAAGCACCGGCUAACUUCGUG
rnacentral:rRNA from 1 species